GUUGAAACACCAGUUCUCAUAUGAUCAUCGAAGUUAAGUAAUGUUGAGCCUAGUCAGUACCUAGAUGGGUAACCACUGGAGAAUGCACAUGCCGUAAG